rnacentral:lncRNA from 1 species
AUGAUUCAGUCUAGGAACGAGGAAAAAGAUGUUUGUUUCCAAAAUGCUAUGAAAGCGUCUGAGAAGUUAACCAUGCUUUUAAACCAGAUACAUCAGUGCAGGCUAGAUAAGACAGAACAGUUCCAUAAGAGCAUUCUUCAAUAAUUGGACAACUUUAAGAAGGAUGUUCAAGCUCUGAAAGACCUUGAGAAGGAAAUCCUGGUAGGUUCUGGCUUUUCUUCUUCUCUGGGGUCUAUCUGCUUAUUGUUUUAGGGCAAAGUUGUGACUUUUUCUUCUCUGCAUCAAUUUUAGGACGUUCGGAAGGAACAAUCACCAAACUAAAUUCGUUCUGUGAGCUGCACAUGCAGAGGUACUUAUUUUGUUUUAAAGCAUUCUUUCGGGGACAGUGAUCCCAGUCAUUGAAUCAUAGGUGUAGACCUGGAAGGGUCCUUAGCAGCCAUCAAGUGCCAUCCAUCUCAUUUUACAGAUGAGAAAACCGAGACGCAGAAGGAAAGGACAAAGCUGCCAAGGCAGUUAGGUGGCGCAGUGCAUAGAAUGCUGGUUCUGGAGCAUGUUCUUGAGUUUGGAUCUGAAGUCAGGCUUGGAGUUAGGAAGACUGGAGCUCCAAUCUGGUCUCAGACACUAGCUGUGUGACCCUGGCCAAGUCACAACCUCUGUUUCAGUUUCGUCAACUGUAAAAUGAGGGUGAUUACAACAUCUACUUCUCUGGAUCAUUUUGAAUAUAAAAUGAGAAUAUUUGUAAAACGUUUUGUAGACCUGAAAGCAUUGUAUUUGUGUUAGCUAUCAUCAUUAAGUAAUUUGCCCAGGGUCAUACAGCUGGUAAGUGUCUUUAGGUGUUCCUAACUCCAAGUCUCGGGCAAUACACCAUUGAUGUCAAACUCAAAUAGAAAACAUCCCUAGAGGCAGCCUAUUGACUUAGAAAACACAAGUUAACAUUAUAUACAUUGUAUUGUAUUCUUACUUAUUUUGUUAAAUAAACAUUUCCCAAUUACAUUUUAAUCUAGUUCA